rnacentral:lncRNA from 1 species
GGACGGGAGGGUCAGAUGACUACGGUUACAUCUCGGGCUUCCGGAGCUAGUUGGGUCUUUGUUUUUGGUGUUUUAGAGUCGGUGAAGGCUUUAAAGGAAGUAGGCAGCUGGAACCCGGCUGUGGCGGGUUGAAAAGCCCGGGCGUUUGAGAGCUGAGACUUGCCAGUUCCCACAGGCCAAGCCAGGCGUCUGCACCCCAUUCUCUUGGUUCCGACGAAUAUGCUCUCCAUGAGGGUGUUCUUCAGGGCCUACCACAAUGGCUGGCACUAGAGAAGGGCACAAAAUUGAAGAACAGUGAAGACAAAAGCAAUAAGAUGAUUAAGGCCAUGUGAGACAGCAACAAUAUCAGGUCCUAGUGGUCACUCGUCCAACCUCCACAUUCCUCAAUGGCCCACAUCAGAUGAGUCAGUUCCUUCAUCAGUGAUGGCAGUGAUUGCAGGGAACGCUCAGCCUCCUUGGCUCUGAUUCUGCCUUACCAGAAGGGAGCCCUUCUGACUUGACCUCGUGGGUGCCAUCGAGUGUGGUUCCAGCUCCGCAUGUUCCUGACUACUCCUGCACAAGUCUGGGAGGUGAGGGAUGUGGGAGGCGCAGCUCUCAGAGCCUCUUACAGAAACAACCAGCCUGGUGCUGCGGUGGCAAGAAACAGACACUGACCCCCGACCCCAAGGGAAAUUCACAAGAAGGCUAUGGAGUCCCUCACAACAUGGAAGGGGAAAUUGAAGAGCCUGGUCUGGAAAAGACAGAAAACAGGGAGGCCGUGGGGACCUAGAAGCUGGAACCAACUGAGAGUCUCAUCUGGCCACACUGUAAAGAUGUGUCAGCCCCAACCUCUUCUUGGCUUUUGCUUCCUCCAUUCAAGGGUCAGAGUCUGAGUGCCUAGGUGGGCCCAGAGCCUUCCCUCUCCAGCCUCCCUGCUGCCCCAGAGAGGACAAACACCAUUUCUGACUCCCCUACAUACUCAGAGUGCAUUCUCAGGAUCACAGUAGAGGAAGGACUGAGAAAAUAAGUGCUCAUGAGGCUGAUGGGCUGCCUUAGCUUUAUCAGCAGCAGAAGAAUUCUGGGAUGCUCACCUCCCA